rnacentral:rRNA from 1 species
UACGAAGGGGGCUAGCGUUGUUCGGAUUUACUGGGCGUAAAGCGCGUGUAGGCGGACUUGUAAGUUGGGGGUGAAAUCCCGAGGCUCAACCUCGGAACUGCCUCCAAAACUACAAGUCUGGAGCAAGAUAGAGGCAAGUGGAAUUGCGAGUGUAGAGGUGAAAUUCGUAGAUAUUCGCAGGAACACCAGUGGCGAAGGCGACUUGCUGGAUCUCUGCUGACGCUGAGACGCGAAAGCGUGGGGAGCAAACAGG